UAGGAGCCACUAGUUGAGCCUGUGUGUUCAAAUCCAUGCUCAGCUAAAGUGACUCCCUUU
rnacentral:pre_miRNA from 1 species